AAAAUUUAAACACACCAGUGACCACAGUGCAACUGCAACUGACGAUCAGUUUCCACCAAACUGCAACAGAGAGAGUGGCUUUGCCGUCUGGGCCAGCUGAGGACUCUCCUUGGACCCCAAAGAAGCAGUUUGUUUCCACCUACUCCCAAGAGCUGAAGAUUAUAAGCCAGAAGCAAACAAAGGCAGGCAAGGAAAUUUGAGGUUGUUGCAUCUGGAAGUAAACAUGUAGCUACUUCUUCUAAUAAAACAGAGCUCUUAGGUGCUCUGACCCUGGAGGAGAGGGAUUUCACUGAGAUGAGAAGGAUGCGUGAUGGGAUCCAUGGGCACUGGAGGCUUAUAUUUCCCUCUCAUGCCAUGCUCAAGUGAUGGGAGGGCAGAGGCAUGAGAGGGUGCUAAGGGACUAAACGCCAUGGCCACAGGAGUCAAGAAGUGCACAGAGGGCAUGGAUGCGUUGGAAAGGGGAGGUGCUGGCCUUUUAAAGAUCAUAUGGCUUGGACAAGGAACAUGCUGCUUUAAAUAAUUUCUAUUAAUAGCCUUUUCUGAACAAUCACAGAGAAAGUCUUCUGAAUAAUCAUACUGAGAACUUAAACUUCCAC